CUUCAGUGAUCUGAGAGUGUUUAUAGUGCUGUGAGUUUAACACUUCAUGACUGACAGCAGAACACAACACAAUCUUCAUCAUCACACAACACAAAACAACAACAAUGACCUUCAGCAUCAUCUUCAUCUGGACUUUUGCAGUUUUUAUUCAGGGAUCCAGAGGAGUCACUCUGACUCAACCGAAAGUUAAAACCGUUCAACAGGGACAAACAGCUACAAUAGAGUGUCAUAUAGAUGUUGGGAUAUACAGCAGCUACUUAGCCUGGUAUCAGCAGAAACCUGGAGAAGCUCCUAAACUCCUCAUUUAUUCUAUAAGUACUCUUCAGUCUGGAACUCCAUCUAGAUUCAGUGGCAGUGGAUCUGGAAGUGAUUUCACUCUGACCAUCAGUGGAGUCCAGACUGAAGAUACAGGAGAUUAUUACUGUCAGAGUUUACACUACAUCAGUAGUAGCUGGGUGUUCACACAGUGAUAAAGAGUCGUACAAAA